rnacentral:rRNA from 1 species
CCUACGGGUGGCUGCAGUGGGGAAUAUUGCGCAAUGGGCGAAAGCCUGACGCAGCGACGCCGCGUGAGGGAUGGAGGUCUUCGGAUCGUAAACCUCUGUCAGCAGGGAAGAACGGUCACUGUGCUAAUCAGCAGUGAAUUGACGGUACCUGCAAAGUAAGCACCGGCUAACUCCGUGCCAGCAGCCGCGGUAAUACGGAGGGUGCGAGCGUUAAUCGGAAUUACUGGGCGUAAAGCGCUCGUAGGCGGUAUGUCAAGUCAAGGGUGAAAUCCCCGCGUUCAACGUGGGAACUGCCUUUGAAACUGGAAAACUGGGUAGUGUGAGAGGAUAGUGGAAUUCCAGGGGUAGGAGUGAAAUCGG